CGGUGACAGGUGCUGCAUGGCUGUCGUCAGCUCGUGUCGUGAGAUGUUGGGUUAAGUCCCGCAACGAGCGCAACCCUCGUCCUUAGUUGCCAGCAUUAAGUUGGGCGACUCUAAGGAAACUGCCGGUGAUAAGCCGGAGGAAGGUGGGGAUGACGUCAAGUCCUCAUGGCCCUUACAAGCUGGGCUACACACGUGCUACAAUGGCGAUGACAGUGAGCAGCUAGACCGCGAGGUCGUGCUAAUCUCUAAAAGUCGUCUCAGUUCGGAUUGUUCUCUGCAACUCGAGAGCAUGAAGGCGGAAUCGCUAGUAAUCGCGGAUCAGCAUGCCGCGGUGAAUACGUUCCCAGGCCUUGUACACACCGCCCGUCACACCAUGGGAGUUGGUUUCACCCGAAGGCGCUACGCUAACCCGCAAGGGAGGUAGGCGACCACGGUGGGAUCAGCGACUGGGGUGAAGUCGUAACAAGGUAGCCGUAGGGGAACCUGCGGCU
rnacentral:rRNA from 1 species